GGAGUAACGGUAUCACACUGUAAAGAACGCAGUGAAGCAGUGAAGCUUGCCCCUGUCACCGGGUUCGGCGCCACGAGUCAACACUGAACACGAGAAGUCUGACUGUUUAUUCUCCUCUUCAUGCAACGCGGUUCCUGCUGUCUGGUGUGCCGUGCCUUCAUCUACAUCGUGAUCACCGCAGGUCUUACUCUGCUUCUUCAUGAGUUCACGAGCACCCUUAGUCACCAGCUUCACCACGUGCUUCAUCGCUUCGUGGGCAUUCUCUUCGCUUUCUGCCUGCUCCCCGAUGCAGCGUUACUACAGCUCAGGGCGUGCUCCGAUGUAUUCCUGUAAACAAGCUUGAAGGUUUGCAUACGGAUGGACUCAGUCUUUCCACCAGAGUUACCUGCACAUGCCCCACGCACUCCGGAAGCACGGGACGGCGAUGAGAACAAGGACGACGAGGCGGGAACUGACCGGCAAGAUUUCUAUCCCUCGUGCUUCCCUGGUUCUUUUCCUGGUUCUCGUCCUCGUCGUUGUUUUUCUCCUUAUUUUCGUCUUCUUGUCUUUCUUGUCCUCGUCCUUUUGUCGUCUUCCUUAUGUUUGUCCUUCUCCGCCUCGUUCUCCUUCUCGUCUUCCUUUUUCUGCGUCUUCUU